GAGAGGCUCGAACCAUGAAUAUCUCAUGUCGCCAUCAUGCAGCUAUGCCUUGCUAACCUACUUUAACUAAACAGCUUAUAUUAUUCAUAAAAGACACAUAGGAAAUAGACACAGUUUGUACAUACAAUACAAUAAAUGUAUGCAUUUGAAAAUGUACAUUGAUUUUGGAUGGUGAAAAUAGGUGCUAUGGUUUGCCUCCAGAUGUCUAUGUGUUGAAACUUUGAUUGUCAGUGUGGCAAUGUUAAGAGGUGGUAGACCUUUUAAGAAACAGGGCCAGUGAGAUAUCCUUACAUCUGAGAGAACUUCCCUCAGUAUAAAUGGUCAGUCCCUCAAUCUGUCUCUGGCUUUCUGUCCAGCUAUAUGAUCACUUCCUCCCAUAUCCACCAUGUGACGUGAUGCUAUCCCUUUUCAUCACUCAGUAUUCUGCCUUGGAUAUUUUAUUAUAGUAACAGGAAAUAGGCUAAGAGGAAGGCAGACAUUGAUGGGAAAUGAGCAGGGAGAGCCAUUCCUUGGAUUAUGAAUUCUUCUUUUGUACAAUUUUCCUUACUAGGUUUUUUGUUUUAAUUUCUGGGGAAUAAUGGUCAUCUUUUAUUUAUGUUGUGAUGAAAAUAUGAUAAGUAAAAUUUCUUUAAGUUCAAAAUGAAGGAAAAA
rnacentral:lncRNA from 1 species